GUAAUUGAUGCUUUUGUCUUUUAAGGGUUAUUUAUUUUUAUUUUUUUUUUAUAAAAGUUUGAUAUGUAGGGUUGAAUGCUGCGGCUUACAGUUGGGUUUGUUUCUGGUUUCCCUUCAUGAUUUGCAGUGUGCACAAUGCACCACUAGUACUAGAGUCCAACAUUAACACCCUGUUUUUGUGUGUCUGUGUGCGGGGUCUACCUAUUCUGAAUAAGUAGAUCUCGCAUUUUAUGCGUCGGUUCGCAACUCUCUCUUUUAGGCUGUCCCAAUUCCUGCAUUAUUUAGACAGUUCAAUAACACAAAAUCUUCACUCUAUUAUGUCUUUUGAACUCAUACGGCAACACUUUUUAAGAUAACUUUUUUGUUUUUGGAUUCAUGACCAAAAACUAGUAAUUUUUUUUUUUUUUUAACAAUAACGAUAGAAAUUUUAUUAAUUUGAUGGAGUCAAACAAGUUAAUUGAACAUUGUAAUUGACAAGAGGAGAAAAGAAAAAAGCAAUAAUUUUUGUUUAUAGAAUUGACUUGGAUCUUAUUACAGAUGAGACAAGACAAUCCAGAUCACGCUCUCAAGAGAAGUAAAGGGACACGUGCCUUUUCCGUUAUUAGAGUAGAUUGAGAAUGAUUUGGGUUUAUUUUUUUAUUGGCGAUAGAAAGUGCUAUAUUUAUAUUUUAAUAUAUACCAAAAAACCAAAGGGUUAAAAUUCGAGGUUGAUCUUUAUAUCAGAUAAUAAAUUAUCAAUUGGUCUGGGAUCCAUGGGUCUGUAAGCACUAGAUAACACCGGAUUUUUGGGACCCCC
rnacentral:lncRNA from 1 species